UGGUAAUUAGUUUAACAAAAACAAAUGAUUUCGACUCAUUAAAUUAUGGGUUAGCCCAUAAUUACCA
rnacentral:tRNA from 1 species